rnacentral:lncRNA from 10 species
UUUAAUUAAGGUUUAAAUAAGAGCUGGGGACAUGUGGAAUGAGAAAUAGAAGGCUCAUCAAAGUAUAUGUGCGUAUGUAUUCUUAUAUUUGUGUGUGUCUACAGUAAUGCUAUCUGGAAACUAGUGCAAUGAAAAACAAAACACAGCAGGAGUGAACUGAGGCAAAUGUGGCUCAGAAAGGUCUCUUUUGACCUUUAAACCUGACAUUUCUUUGUGGAUAUCACACUGACUCAUCCAAUGUCACACGUUGAACCCAGCGAUGUCUUUUCUUCCUAUUGAAAACUAGCCUUCUCAUCCUGUUUUCUUUAAUCUAUCACACAAGCUGAAUUCUAUCCACCCUCACUGCCAUAGCGCUUACAGAUAUCACUGAUAUCAUCUCUCCUUUCUGUUCACAUUUUUACAGUCUCAUUAUUUAUGUUGCUAAGCAUUUUCUUACAACUGUUCGAAGCCUACAGGUUAAGAUGUGGGUGGAGAUAUACACUAAAGACUUACUUAUUAGAUCUAUAAUGCCAGGGAUGAGUUCAAUAUAACAAACCAGUGGAAUGAUUCUGCUUCUCUUCUGACUCACUCCUUAAAAUGUGUAUUGAACAAAGGUGAAGUAGAAAAGUUGUAUUAGCAUUGUUUUAUUUUGCAUGACUUAAAAUGUGCUUUUCUAAUUGAUAAUUUAUCUAGUGCUGCCUCAGACUUGAUAAUUGGGUUCAUCAACAGAGCCUUGAAAAGUUUGGGUAGAGACCACAAAAAUGUAGUAGCUAUGCAUGAAGAUUAGCUGAUAGUUUAUCCGUUAAGACUGCUUAUGGAUGUAAGCAAUGAAAAUCUAACUAACAGUAGCUAAGAGAAAUAGAGAUUUAUGUUUUCAUGUAGCAUAGAGUCUGGAGGUUGGCAGCCGACAACUCUGUGAUGCCAUCAGCAACCCUACUUUUCUCCAUUUCUUAAAAUGGAAGAUUCUUAGAGUGUUGCUUUUACCGUGUUGUUUUUCUCAUCAUGCCUCCAUCUGCCAUCAUAUCUCAUCUGCCAUCCAGAUAGGAACAAGGGAAAAGGACUAAGGAGGAAAAAGGCAAGGAGAUAUGUCAGCUGAUUGUCCUUUUCUGUCAGGUUAGCAGUGUCUUCCCCAAAGGCCCCAUCUAGCAGAUUUCUGACUAUGUCUCUAUGGCCAGAACACACCGUGGCACACAUUCAUUCUAAACUGGAAGAUGGUUAGGAAAAAGGAAGGUGUGGGGGUGUGAAACCACCUGCCAAAAGUGUCACAGUUGUGACCAGUUUAUUUCACAGUUUGAGAUGACAUGGUCAUAAAGACCUUUGUCACCUUCAGAAUGCAGCAAAGCAUGAGAGAGUAUUAGAAGGCCGCUGAGAAAGACAAACAAGUUUUAGGAUUACAGAAGUAUUCAACAACCAACCAUUGAAGGUGCAAGAACUGGGCCAUCCCAUGGGUCCACCAGGGCUUUGACAAGGCAGGUGCUGGGGCAGAGCACUCUGGCCAGGAAGCAAAAGAUGAAGGUUCCCAUCUUGGCCCCAGCCUGGAUCUGUGCCCAGUGAUAGUCAUCAGCCUGGAUCUGUGCCCAUUGCAUUGUGUGGACAUACCACGCCAUGUUUCUCCAUCACCUUUUGAGGAAACUUCUGUUGUUUCCACCUUCUAACCGUCAUCAGUAAAGCUGCUGUGAACCUUCGCAUCCAGGUCUCCUGGUGAAAUGAAUGCACACAUCUCUCUUGGGUAUUAUGUGAGUGUCCCGUAGCUGCUGUAAUAAACUAUCACAAAUGCAGUAGCUUAAAACAACAUAGAUUUAGUCUUGUACAGAUCCGGAGGACAGCAGUUGGAAAGGAGACUCAUGAACACCUCAUGUCAAGUUAUCAGCAGCACGGGGCCCUGCUGGAGGCUGCGGGGGUGAGUCCAUUUCCUUGCCUGCUCCAGUUCCCAGAGGCACCCACAUUCCUUGGCUUUUGGCCCCUUCCAGAUGCAAGGACAUCUCUCCGACCUCUGCUCCCGUGGCCACAUCCCCUCCGCUGACUCUGAGCCUCCUGCCUUUCUCACUUAGGACCCUGUGAUGGCAGCAGGCCUAGCCAGUUAAUCCAGCCUCAUCUCCCUCUCCCAAAACCCUCAACUCUAUCGUGUCAGCAGAGUCUCUUUCUCCGUAUUGAGGUAGCGUUCCUUGGGAUGGCCAUCUUGCCCCGAAUAGGUUCCUUGAUGUCCCUGUACUGUUUGCAGGGACACAUUUACAAGUAGGAUUAAUAGCAUCUCCUCCUUUCAGGUCCCUGUGAGAAUCCCUUAGAAAAAUUUAUGAAGGUGGCCGGGCACAGUGGCUCAUGUCUGUAAUCCCAGCACUUUGAGAGGCCGAGGCGGGUGGAUCACCUGAGGUCAGGAGUUUGAGACCAGCCUGACCAACAGGGUGAAACUGUCUCUACUAAAAAUAAAAAAACUAGCUGGGCAUGGUGUUG